rnacentral:rRNA from 1 species
ACGGCCAUACCACAUUGAAAACACCGGUUCUCGUCCGAUCACCGAAGUUAAGCAAUGUCGGGCCCGGUCAGUACUUGGGAGGGUGACCACCUGGGAACACCGGGUGCUGUAAGCU